CAAUCUUUCAAUAAAUGAAAAAUAAGUAGGGAUACAAAAUUUGAGGUAUAAGGUACGAUUUGGGGAUUUCUGUCACCUACAACAUAAUAGUGUUUUUUAUUGAAGAAGAGAGCGAAGAAGAUCUCAAAACAAAAGCUGCAAUAGACGAGAAGCAACAGGAAAAAACAUGGGGAAUCCGAAUAGAAAAAAAAAGAAUUCAUAGCAGACACCCAAACAAAGCGAAGAGGAGAUAGACAGGGAGGGAGGAGAAACCCGUUGCCAUGUGCAAUCCAAGAAAACAAAUGCGAGCAAGUUACCAGAAACAGAGAGAAAAAACAAAAACAAAAAUAGAGACUGCGAGCAAUAGACCGUUUAAACGGGAACUGCUGGAAAAUCCAGACCAGACUUGUCAACCUGCCUUGCAGCCCCUCUAAUCAACCUGGCGACACCUGAAUUUAAUAACGGUAGCGCACCUGUUGCAGGUCAGGAAGUGCCUAGAGACUUAAAUCCACUCUAUCGCUGUGCCUUAAAUAAUGUUUACAAAAAUUGUAUUCCAAUUUAGUUUUAAAAUGUAUACAUAUACAUAUGUAAAUGGCUUACAAAUGGUAAGGAAAUGUUUUAAAAUGAAUUUUCUUAACAAAUAUUAUAGGACAACAUCUAUAAUAUAUCGCCUAAAAGAUUGUUCAAAUUAAACAAAAGGUUAAAUAUAAAACCUUUAUACUUUUUGGAUCAUGUUUCAUUUAGUACAAUAAAAUUUGCGACCAUUUGAAAUGGUACUUAUUGUAGUGUGUA